rnacentral:rRNA from 1 species
GAUGAACGCUGGCGGCGUGCCUAAUACAUGCAAGUCGAGCGAACGGACGAGAAGCUCGCUCCUCUGAUGUUAGCGGCGGACGGGUGAGUAACACGUGGAUAACCUACCUAUAAGACUGGGAUAACUUCGGGAAACCGGAGCUAAUACUGGAUCAUAUUUUGAACCGCAUGGUUCAAAAGUGAAAGACGGUCUUGCUGUCACUUAUAGAUGGAUCCGCGUUGCAUUAGCUAGUUGGUAAGGUAACGGCUUACCAAGGCAACGAUGCAUAGCCGACCUGAGAGGGUGAUCGGCCACACUGGAACUGAGACACGGUCCAGACUCCUACGGGAGGCAGCAGUGGGGAAUCUUGCGCAAUGGGCGAAAGCCUGACGGAGCAACGCCGCGUGAGUGAUGAAGGUCUUCGGAUCGUAAAACUCUGUUAUUGGGGAAGAACAGAUGUAUAAGUAAAUGUGCACAUCUUGACGGUACCUAAUCAGAAAGCCACGGCUAACUACGUG